AGCUUUGGAAUCCCCAAAGCCCAACCGCAGUGACACAUUUCCUUCAACAAGGCCACAUCUCUCAAUCUCUCUCAAGUAGUGCUACUUACUAAUUAUCAAGCAAUUAAAUAUAUGAGCCCUUGGAGGCCAUUCCUGUUCAAGCCACCACAUUCCACUUCUUGGCCCCCAUAGGCUUGUAGCCAUAUCAUAAUGCAAAAAUGCAUUCAGUCCAACUUCAAAAGUCCCCAUGAUCUACAGUAGUCUCAACACUAUUUGAAAGUCCAAAGUUUCUUCUGAGAUUCAUGUCAGUCUCUUAACUGUAAUCCCCUAGAGGGAAAAAAGAAGAUCAUAUGCUUCAAAGAUACAAUGGCACAGGGUAUAUAUACGUUACCAUUCCAAAAGGGAGGAAAGGGAACAUAGAAAAUACUGGAACAAAGCAAGACUGAAAACCAACCAGGCAAACUCCAAACGAAGAAAGUGAGCCUACUGUGAAAAGCAGCAUUAAUCCUAUAGGAGGAUCACCUCAAUGACAACCAAACCAUCCCUUGAAAGAAGAGACAUAAGGGACAGAAAUGGAGGGAAGAGAGAUGUGGAUGAAAGAUGAGACUCAGCCUAAUUCAUAUUCAGUCCUUACCAGCUUUGAGUACCUCGAAGAGAAGAAGGCCAUUUUUGUAUGCUGUCAUAAAACACCAAAAUGAAGACAACUUAUAGAAGAAAGAGUUUAUUUGGACUUACAGAUCCAGAGGGACAAGAGUCCACCAUGGCAAAUGCUGGUACCAGAGGAUGGAACACUUGGGAAGGAGUGAAAUCAUGAAGAUAGAACCCUAAUACAUGGAGCUAGUAUCCUUAUUGAAGGAGACCCCUGUGAGCUCCCUAGUCCCUUCUGUGUGAUGUUACAAAGAGAAGAAGGCUGUUGGCAAAGUGAGCCCUGGCCAGACAAUGAAUCUUCCAGGAUAUUGGCAGUAGUCUUCCUGGAC
rnacentral:lncRNA from 1 species